AGUAGUCAUGGUGCAUCAUCGUCUCUUUCUAAUGAAAGUAGUAAGUCAUCAUUGUUCACGGACACAAGUUUUUCGUCUGACUGCAAUGACAGUAUAAGCGAAAGGACUGGCUCAGUGGUAUCAUCGCAAACAUCUGACAUCAAACGACAGUGAGUACUCUUUUGGACAGGAUGAUGAACUUCUAGGCUUACCCCAACACGACCGUGUCCGUGAUGUGGAAAAUAAAGUCAAAGAUGGAGAUGAAGUUGUUCCCAAAAAUAAUGAAGUGUUAAGAGGUGAAGAGGGCAAUGGAUCGACAGACGGUGAAAGUCAAGCCAGUGAAGUGUCUCUCUCUUCUACCAGUCAUUCGACCCCUGAGAAUCUUGAAAAUGGUGAACUCGAUCAACAUGAAAGAUAUAAUGAUGAAGAACUGGCUGAGAGACUUAAUGAUUUGGAUCAGAACCUCUAUGAUGGGUGCCAAAUAACAAGGCGAGAGAGUAUUCUACUCAUAAUGGGACACAUCAUAAGGAAUCAUGUGAGUGGAACAGCUCUGCAGAGCCUACUGACAGUCUUGGAGGCACAUUUACCAGCUGGAACUGUAUUCCCUGCUUCCCAAUAUCUUUUUAUGAAGAACUUUAAAAACAGUGACAUCACUCUAAGAUUUCACUCAUACUGCCCUUCUUGUAUAACCUACAUUGGAAGUAAUGAUAUGUGGUGUGAAAAUUGUG